rnacentral:lncRNA from 1 species
ACUCUAGGAUGGCGGGAAACGGCUCGUUACGCGAACUCGUUGGUCCCAGGGCCGGGAAAUGAAGAAGCCCUCAGAAGAGAUGGUGGCACUCUACCGUCCUACUUUAGCGAAAGGUAUGUAACAGCUUCAGUGUCGGCCUGGCGUUGAUGAUCUGGUAUACUCCCCCCUCGAGUUGUCUUCUCUUGCUGUUCCGCUAGUGGCUUUGCAAGGGCCUGUUGCCCGUAGUUAAGAUGGCCGCAGCCGCUUCGGCGCCCGCGCUCAGGUCGGGUGGGUGAAAGGUGAGGCGCGGGUGCAGGCGCGGGUGAGGGAGGGCUGGCAGCGGCGAGGGGUUUGGGAGGCGGGGACGCCGGCCUAGGAGUGGAGGGGCUGUCCGGCCAAAUGUCCUCUUCCCAAUCCCCGCAAGAAGGCCCACUCAGUGACCCGGUCAUAAAAUAUAUUUUUUUAUUAUUGGCAAACUAAUUCAUUUCUCAGGUUUUUGGGUUUUGUUUUUCAUUUACAAGGUACAUAAGAAUAUUCAGUGAAUGUCCUCUCCCCCAGCCCCCCACCAUUCCUCUAAUAGUUUCUUAAAUAUCCCUACAGUGAUUGUGCCUUAUAGAGAUAGUCAGUCUGUUUGUCUAUAGUACUUCCACACAUUUACUAGCUCUUACUGAGGACACUGGGCCGAAUGCCUCUCAGUCCCUUAGAGUUCAGUCAUUUUACAGAAGGGAACUGAAACCCAGUUAGGACCUAAGGUCAGGCAGCCCAUUAGUGACUCGGGGUUUUCAGACUCCUAAUGCGAGCCUUUCCACCGCCUUCUGGCGCUGCCUCCUCCAGGCUCCCAGAAAAGUAACAUGAAUGCUUCAAAUUUACUGGCCCCUGCUGACAUUGUGAAACAAACUGGAUUCUCGUUAUUAAGUCAUUAUUGUUGUAUAAAAAGUUAGACGAGGGACUUCGCUGGUGGUGCAGUGCUUAAGAAUCCGCUUGCCAAUACAGGGGACAUGGAUUCAAUCCCCGGUCCAGGAAGAUCCCACAUGCCGCGGAGCAAAUAAGCCCGUGCGCCACAACUACUGAGCCUGCGCUCUAGAGCCCACGAGCCACAACUUCUGAGCCCACGUGCCACAACUACUGAAGCCCGGGUGCCUGGAGCCUGUGCUCUGCAACAAGAGAAGCCACGACAAUGAGAAGCCCGCGUACCGCAACGAAGUGUAGCUCCAGCUUGCCACAACUAGAGAAAACCCGCGCACAGCAACGAAGACCCAACGCAGCCAAAACUAAAUAAAAAUUUAAAAAUAAACUUAUUUUAAAAACAACAAGGUUAGGGACUUCCCUCAUGGCCCAGUGGUUAAGACUUCACCUUCCAAUUCAGGGGGCACAGGUUCGAGCCCUGGUUGGGGAAGUUCCACAUGCUGUUGGGCGUGGCCAAAAUAAAAUGUUAAAAAAAAGAAAAAAGUUAGAUGAGUUACUGGAUGACAGGACUCAUUUGCUUUCAUGCUCCAUCUGAAUGUGCUUCCAUUUCCAAGCUCCCCUAACAGAACAGUGGCCGACUAUGCAAGAGCUGCAGUUGGUUCUGUGAUGUGACUAAGACAUUAAUAAUAUUAGCUUAUCUUGAUCGAUCACUUACUGCAUUCCAAACUGUUCUAAGUGCUUUUGCCUGUUAACUCAACCCUCACAACACUUCAGAGAUAGGUACCCUUCUGGAUCAGGAAGCUGAGGCGCAGAGGAAUGACCUUGCCCCAGGCCACACAGCUAGUGAGGGUUCUGACUCCAGAACCCAUGCCAUGAUGUCUCCAAUUAUUGAAGGCACAAUGUCAGCAACCAGAGACAGGUGGGAUUUUAGGCCAGGUAUGCAGUUGUAAUGUGGGGUAGGGCAAGAAGCAGGGACGUAGGAAGUCAGAAGAACUGCUUCUGGUCACCUAUGCAAUUCCAUACUGUUGUAUU